rnacentral:rRNA from 1 species
GACGAACGCUGGCGGCGUGCUUAACACAUGCAAGUCGAACGGAAAGGCCCUGCUUUUGUGGGGUGCUCGAGUGGCGAACGGGUGAGUAACACGUGAGUAACCUGCCCUUGACUGUGGGAUAACUUCAGGAAACUGGGGCUAAUACCGGAUAGGAGCUCCUGCUGCAUGGUGGGGGUUGGAAAGUUUCGGCGGUUGGGGAUGGACUCGCGGCUUAUCAGCUUGUUGGUGGGGUAGUGGCUUACAAAGGCUUUGACGGGUAGCCGGCCUGAGAGGGUGACCGGCCACAUUGGGCCUGGGGUACGGCCCAGACUCCUACGGGAGGCAGCAGUGGGGAAUAUUGCACAAUGGGCGGAAGCCUGAUGCAGCAACGCCGCGUGCGGGAUGACGGCCUUCGGGUUGUAAACCGCUUUCGCCUGUGACGAAGCGUGAGUGACGGUAAUGGGUAAAGAAGCACCGGCUAACUACGUG